rnacentral:rRNA from 1 species
ACGGAGCUGUUUUCUCUGAAGUUUUCGGAUGGAAGAGAGUUCAGCUUAGUGGCGAACGGGUGAGUAACACGUGAGCAACCUGCCUUUCAGUGGGGGACAACAUUUGGAAACGAAUGCUAAUACCGCAUAAGACCACAGUGUCGCAUGGCACAGGGGUCAAAGGAUUUAUCCGCUGAAAGAUGGGCUCGCGUCCGAUUAGCUAGAUGGUGAGGUAACGGCCCACCAUGGCGACGAUCGGUAGCCGGACUGAGAGGUUGAACGGCCACAUUGGGACUGAGACACGGCCCAGACUCCUACGGGAGGCAGCAGUGGGGAAUAUUGCACAAUGGGGGAAACCCUGAUGCAGCGACGCCGCGUGGAGGAAGAAGGUCUUCGGAUUGUAAACUCCUGUCCCAGGGGACGAUAAUGACGGUACCCUGGGAGGAAGCACCGGCUAACUACGUGCCAGCAGCCGCGGUAAAACGUAGGGUGCAAGCGUUGUCCGGAAUUACUGGGUGUAAAGGGAGCGCAGGCGGAUUGGCAAGUUGGGAGUGAAAUCUAUGGGCUCAACCCAUAAAUUGCUUUCAAAACUGUCAGUCUUGAGUGGUGUAGAGGUAGGCGGAAUUCCCGGUGUAGCGGUGGAAUGCGUAGAUAUCGGGAGGAACACCAGUGG